rnacentral:rRNA from 1 species
GAUGAACGCUGGCGGUGUGCCUAAUACAUGCAAGUCGAGCGAACAGACGAGGAGCUUACUCCUCUGACGUUAGCGGCGGACGGGUGAGUAACACGUGGAUAACCUACCUAUAAGACUGGGAUAACUUCGGGAAACCGGAGCUAAUACCGGAUAACAUGUUGAACCGCAUGGUUCAACAGUGAAAGACGGUCUUGCUGUCACUUAUAGAUGGAUCCGCGUCGCAUUAGCUAGUUGGUAAGGUAACGGCUUACCAAGGCAACGAUGCGUAGCCGACCUGAGAGGGUGAUCGGCCACACUGGAACUGAGACACGGUCCAGACUCCUACGGGAGGCAGCAGUAGGGAAUCUUCCGCAAUGGGCGAAAGCCUGACGGAGCAACGCCGCGUGAGUGAAGAAGGUCUUCGGAUCGUAAAACUCUGUUAUUAGGGAAGAACAAAUGUGUAAGUAACUAUGCACGUCUUGACGGUACCUAAUCAGAAAGCCACGGCUAACUACG